UACGUAGGAGGCAAGCGUUGUUCGGAAUUACUGGGCGUAAAGGGUCUGUAGGUGGCCAACUAAGUCAGACGUGAAAUCCCUCAGCUUAACUGGGGAACUGCGUCUGAUACUGGAUGGCUUGAGUGUGGGAGAGGAAUGCGGAAUUCCAGGUGUAGCGGUGAAAUGCGUAGAUAUCUGGAGGAACACCGGUGGCGAAGGCGGCAUUCUGGACCAUAACUGACACUGAGAGACGAAAGCCAGGGGAGCAAACGGG
rnacentral:rRNA from 1 species